rnacentral:piRNA from 1 species
CUCUUGAUUUGUGACUGACGGUUGUUCUC